GUGGGGAAUAUUGGACAAUGGGGGGAACCCUGACGCAGCAACGCCGCGUGAGUGAGGAAGGUCUUCGGAUUGUAAAACUCUUUUAUUAGGGAAAAAUGUCUAGGUGGCUAAUAUCCACUUAGAGUGAUGGUACCUAAGGAAUAAGCACCGGCUAACUUCGUGCCAGCAGCCGCGGUAAUACGAAGGGUGCAAGCGUUGUUCGGAAUCAUUGGGCGUAAAGCGCGCGCAGGCGGGUCAGUAAGUCAGGUGUGAAAUCUCGGGGCUCAACUCCGAAACGGCGCCUGAAACUAUUGGUCUAGAGUAUCGGAGGGGACAGGGGAAUUUCACGUGUAGGGGUAAAAUCCGUAGAGAUGUGAAGGAACACCGGAGGCGAAGGCGCCUGUCUGGACGAUUACUGACGCUGAGGCGCGAAAGCGUGGGGAGCAAACAGGAUUAGAAACCCGGGUAGUCC
rnacentral:rRNA from 1 species